ACGCAGUUAUAGAGGAACGACUGUACUGAAGAACAAUCGUGUACAUCACAAAAAAGAGUGGCGGACAUUUUUUCGCGAACCAAGACCCGUAUCGUUGAUCGCUGAUCGUCGAUGCUGAUUGCAAACGAUUGAUAAUGAAAAUUUGAUUUCUCGUUCCUCGAAUUCCUUAUCGAACGCGUUGUUUGCAAUUUCGUCGAGAGAAUCAACGGACGAGAAGGAUGGAAACGGGAUAUCCUGCAGUGAAUCGAGCUCAAGCGUUAACACUCAAAACUCGAGUGUUUUUUCCGUAAAGCGGAAUGGUGUCAGUUACAUAAGGACUCCUGCCGUGCCCAGAAGUAUCGGAGGGGUUGCUGGAGAGGGAGAUCGUCCGUCCUGGAGGGGAUAAACCGAGAAAAGGAGAGAGGAUUCUCGGCGAGCGAGCAAAGAGGACCAUACGUGUUAGAAAGAGAGACAUGAAAUAGGGAACGAAGGAAAGGAGCGAGAAAAAGAGCGAGAGAUCAGAGAGAGAAUCCGCUCUAUAAGGGGGGAGAUCCAAUGAACGAGAAGACCGGACGAAAAUCCGCCAAUCGCAGCCUGGUACCGCCAUGGCACUUUUUAAGAACCGCUGCGAGAGGGGCGAAGAGGUGAAAAAAGUGAAAGUUUGAGCCAACGCUAGAAGCAGUCCCUCCCUCUUUGUUAAACCCCCGCCCUUCACUCUUCCCUACCACGGCUGGCGUUUGGUCGCUCUUUCCUUCUCUUCAUCUCCUUCGCUCGACAUUCGCUUGAUUUUCUUUUUUUUUAAGGGCCUAGAAAUUCUAGAUGGUAUCGCCAUGCUCGAUCUCUAAUUUCUUCCUCGAAAAUAAGACUUGUAUCUUGCUCCACAUGUACUUUCUACUUUGGCGUUAAUUCUUUCACGUUAUCGUGGGCAUUCCUAUGCCACGCACAAAAUCUCACAACGCUAGCGCACCAUUUUUUAUUAUAAUAUUCUACGAAACGUGAUUGUCUUGUUUUUUUUUCCAGAAUUAUAUAAAAAUAUUUUCAACUAUUGAAAAAUUAUAUUGAGAAAUUUAUCCGAAUUUCUGCUUCUUCAGAAUAAUAAAUUUUACAAAUGAGAAUGAAUAGUAUGCUUCCUUGUAGAAUCAGAAAAUAUUUAUGAAAAUUUUUUUAUAAAUCUCAAAGAAAAAUUAAUAUUUUAACAGUAAUUGAAACUAUCAAAUUACUCAUAAAGUAUAAAAUUAUCAAAUGACUCAAUCCAUUCAUUGUAAAAAUGUAUAUACAUUUUUAUCUUAAAAAUGAUAAAAAAACAUCAUGGAUCAAAGCGAAAGAAUCGCCGGUAGUUUUAAAUCUUCCUAUAUUAUAGAUUAAUUUUUAAAAUUAAAAAUGAACUUCGUAACGUUAUGUCAUCUAGUUGUAUGGACGAGGUCUUUUCCACGAAGAUUUCUCACAUUACGCAGCUUACGCGGAGAACGAUCCAGCGAUGAUAAAAAUGCCAAAAAUGGUCAAUUUCACCGCGUAGGAGAUCAUAAAAACGAUGAUACGUUCUCUAUAUGCGUGCCUUUCCCUUUCUCAAGCGAGGUCGUCCGAGCGAAAUCGAGUAACGAGAUCAGCGCCAACCUACUUCCGGCAGACAUACGGGUUACUCAGUAACCGCGACGUGCGAACUGUUUGUUCCUGUCAGCCGAGUGACUUCUCGGCGAAGUCUCGGCAUCGUCAGCGGGGCAGAGCGCGACGAAGCGAACGAACGACCAGGCACUCCGGCGCGGCGCCCUCGAUUUCACUUUCAUUACGAGGCCGGCGCGAAGCGCUUCGCUUACGCUCAUUCACUCUCGUUCGUACGUACAUACGUACAUGCGCGCCGAGAAAUGCAUACACGUACGUAUGUACCGAGUACGCGCGUACCUAACCCCGUGCGAGCGCUUUAUUUUUUUUAUCACGGCCUCGUUAUCGCUCGUAAAAAUAGAAACCGACGGCGACGCGCUCCGGGGGAAAACCCGGCGCUCAUCGACAACCGAAUCUUCUUCAAAGAUAGGAAUUCUGGCGUCUUUAUUUUGUAAUCGAAAUGAGAUUUACUCUCAUAUGAUAUGAGAUUAAUUAUUAGAUAUCUAAUAGUAUGUACAAGUAGAAAAGUUUGAUUGCUAAGAUAUUGAUAUACAUUCUUUAGUUUGUUUCUUCUUAUUAGCCCCAUAUAACAAAUGUGGAUUAAAAGGUUAAGGAAAGGAGAAAGAAUGACUAGCAGAAGAAUAAGAAUUUCGCAUUUUUAAGAAUCCAGAGUUGGGCGUUUUUAAGAAUCCAGCGAUUAUCUAUUCCACUCCCUAAUUUUAAGUCGGACGUUAUUGGAACAUGCCGUUGAAAAUUAUACUGUUGGCAGCGAGUGGCAAAGAAUGCUAACGAGCGGCAAAAAUUUCCCUAAUUAUGGGAAAAGUAAGAACCGUCGUAGGCCAUAAUGCAUUCAGGGCAUGCCAUUAACAGCUGCGAGUGCCCUUCUAUUUUCGUAGUAGAAAGGCACUUUGUGGGUUAAUGGCGCGCGCUGAAUUCUAAACAGUGCUUAGGGCAUGCCGAUUACGCGAUCGAGCACCGCUGAUGCGCCAACAUUGAUGCUCGAAAAUUGUAAGUGACAACAUAUUACUUUAGCGCACCAUCCAAAAUUUAUUCGAUUAUCAAAUGGAAUUGUUGUUUUGAAAAUAUGUAAAUUGGUAGAUUCCAAUAGCUUUAAUAGUCAGAUAAUUACUUACUAUUCUUAAUUUUCUUUAAUAAUUUAUGAAUAAUGCAGCAUACAAAUAUUUAUUUGUAUUUAUUUAAUAAAUUUCAAAAAUUUUUAUUAUAUUUAAGUUUGCAUUAUAGAGUUAAUUCACUUAGAUCUAAAUAAAUACGAUAAAAGUAAUUUGCUGCAUUAUCUACGCGAAUUUGCUUAACUCAUUUUCUCACGAUGAUAGCAGCAUCAUCUGCCGAUGUUAUUACAUUCUUUUCACGAUUUCGUUCCUUCGUACCGUAAAAUUUUACAAUCAUCAUCGAGGGUAAUAUGCGAUGAAUAACAGCUCUUUACUAGCAUGCUGAAAGUAGCAUUUUUCGCCAAGUCAUCUAAACAUUACUGACGUAAUAUCAUCAAAUUCACAAGUGUCGUAACCUAAUUGCAAAUAGAAAUUUUGUGCCAGUUUCUACAUUAAAUUGAGUCCGAAGAAAGCUACUAUCGAGAUAACUUAUAAUAUUACGCAAUAUUACUUUAUAUAAUGCGAAUAAAAAAAAAGUUUAAUAUCUCCAACGAGUUUUACUUACUUCCUGGAAGAAUUCUUGAGAUUUUCAAUUACAGCACGAUAUUAAUUCACAUUAACAU